rnacentral:rRNA from 1 species
CCCUGAGGUACGGAAUAACUGCUGGAAACGGCUGCUAAUACCGUAUGUGCACUACGGGGGAAAGAUUUAUCGCCUUGGGACGGGCCCGCGUCGGAUUAGCUUGUUGGUGGGGUAACGGCCCACCAAGGCUCCGAUCCGUAGCUGGUCUGAGAGGAUGAUCAGCCACACUGGAACUGAGACACGGUCCGGACUCCUACGGGAGGCAGCAGUGGGGAAUAUUGCGCAAUGGGGGAAACCCUGACGCAGCCAUGCCGCGUGAGUGAAGAAGGUCUUCGGAUUGUAAAGCUCUUUCAACGGGGAAGAUGAUGACGGUACCCGUAGAAGAAGCCCCGGCUAACUUCGUGCCAGCAGCCGCGGUAAUAA